AUUGAAACACCGGCUCUCGUACGAUCACUGAAGUCAAGCAUGGUCAGUACCUUGAUGGGUGACCGCUUGGGAAUACUAGGUGCU